GGACGAAGACUGACGUUGAGGCUCGAAAGCGUGGGGAGCAAACAGGAUUAGAACCCUGGUAGUCCACGCUGUAAACGAUGAAUACUAGGUGUUGGUGGGCAAUGCCCAUCAGGCCGCAGCUAACGCAAUAAGUAUUCCACCUGGGGAGUACGUUCGCAAGAAUGAAACUCAAGGAAUUGACGGGGACCCGCACAAGCGGUGGAGCAUGUGGUUUAAUUCGAAGCAACGCGAAAACCUUACCAGAUCUUGACAUCCCGAUGACCGGCAUUUAAUCAUGCCUUCCCUUCGGGGCUCGGAGACAGGUGGUGCAUGGUUGUCGUCAGCUCGUGUCGUGAGAUGUUGGGUCAAGUCCGCAACGAGCGCAACCCUUGCCUAUAGUAGCCAGCAGUAAGAUGGGGACUCUAUAGGGACUCCGGGGACAACCCGGAGGAAGGUGGGGAUGACGUCAAAUCAUCAUGCCCCUUACGGUCUGGCUACACACGUGCUACAAUGGCGUAACAGAGAGAAGCGAGCCUGCGAGGGGGAGCGAACCCAAAAAUAACGUCCCAGUUCGGACUGCAGUCUGCAACUCGACUGCACGAAGCCGGAAUCGUAGUAAUCGCAGAUCAGAAUGCUGCGGUGAAUACGUUCCCGGGUCUUGCACACACCGCCG
rnacentral:rRNA from 1 species